AACGAACGCUGGCGGCAUGCCUAACACAUGCAAGUCGAACGAGAACACCGGGUCUUGUGGCGCAUGGGUGUGGCAGGCGUGGGAAGCUGCACUUAGGUAUGGAAUACCUCUCAGACAGGGGUGAUAAUACCGGAUAAUGUCUUCGGACCAAAGAUAUAUCGCCCUUGGAUGGGCAGGCGUUGGAUUAGCUGGUUGGGAGGGUAAUAGCCUACUAAGGCGACGAUCCAUAGCUGGUCAGAGAGAAAGGGCAGCAACACUGGGACUAAGACCCGGCCCAGACUCCUACGGAAGGGAGCAAAGCCUGAUAUAGGACAAUGGGGUGAGGCCUGAUGCAGCAAGGCCGGGAAAGUUAUGUUGUCCUGAGAGAAGAAAAGCUCUUUUACCCGUGAUGAUAAUGACGGUACCGGGAGAAUAAGCUCCGGCUAACUCCGUG
rnacentral:rRNA from 1 species